AUUGAACGCUGGCGGCGGGCCUAACACAUGCAAGUCGAGCGGAUGAGGGAAGCUUGCUUCCCGAUUUAGCGGCGGACGGGUGAGUAAUGCCUAGGAAUCUGCCUAUUAGUGGGGGAUAACGUUCCGAAAGGAACGCUAAUACCGCAUACGUCCUACGGGAGAAAGUGGGGGAUCUUCGGACCUCACGCUAAUGGAUGAGCCUAGGUCGGAUUAGCUAGUUGGUGAGGUAACGGCUCACCAAGGCGACGAUCCGUAGCUGGUCUGAGAGGAUGAUCAGCCACACUGGAACUGAGACACGGUCCAGACUCCUACGGGAGGCAGCAGUGGGGAAUAUUGGACAAUGGGCGAAAGCCUGAUCCAGCCAUGCCGCGUGUGUGAAGAAGGUCUUCGGAUUGUAAAGCACUUUAAGUUGGGAGGAAGAGUUGUAAGCUAAUAUCUUGCAGCUUUGACGUUACCAACAGAAUAAGUACCGGCUAACUCUGUGCCAGCCGCCGCCGUAAUAC
rnacentral:rRNA from 1 species